rnacentral:tRNA from 1 species
GGGUGGGGCUUAGUGGUAGAAGAUUUGCCUGUCGUGUAGGAAGCCCUGGGUUUGAUCCCCAGAAUUGCCCA